rnacentral:rRNA from 1 species
UACGUAGGGGGCUAGCGUUGUCCGGAAUCAUUGGGCGUAAAGCGCGUGUAGGCGGCCCGGUAAGUCCGCUGUGAAAGUCGGGGGCUCAACCCUCGGAUGCCGGUGGAUACUGUCGGGCUCGAGUACGGAAGAGGCGAGUGGAAUUCCUGGUGUAGCGGUGAAAUGCGCAGAUAACAGGAGGAACACCAAUUGCGAAGGCAGCUCGCUGGGACGUAACUGACGCUGAGACGCGAAAGCGUGGGGAGCAAACAGG